UAAGCAUAUCAAUAAGCGGAGGAAAAGAAACCAACAGGGAUUGCCCUAGUAACGGCGAGUGAAGCGGCAACAGCUCAAAUUUGAAAUCUGGCGCAAGCCCGAGUUGUAAUUUGUAGAGGAUGCUUCUGGGCAGCGGCCGGUCUAAGUUCCUUGGAACAGGACGUCACAGAGGGUGAGAAUCCCGUAUGUGAUCGGUUGGCACCCGCUACGUAGCUCCUUCGACGAGUCGAGUUGUUUGGGAAUGCAGCUCUAAAUGGGAGGUAAAUGCCUUCUAAAGCUAAAUACCGGCCAGAGACCGAUAGCGCACAAGUAGAGUGAUCGAAAGAUGAAAAGCACUUUGGAAAGAGAGUUAAAAAGCACGUGAAAUUGUUGAAAGGGAAGCGCAUGCAACCAGACUUGUCCGCGGUGUUCCGCCGGUCUUCUGACCGGUCUACUCGCCGCGGGCAGGCCAGCAUCAUCUGGGAGCGCCGGAUAAAGGUAGCGGGAAUGUGGCCCCUCGGGGUGUUAUAGCUCGCUACACAAUACGGCGCCUCCCGGGUGAGGUCCGCGCUUCGGCUAGGAUGCUGGCGUAAUGGUUGUAUGCGGCCCGUCUUGAAACACGGACCAAGGAGUCUACCAUCUAUGCGAGUGUUCGGGUGUCAAACCCCUACGCGCAAUGAAAGUGAACGGAGGUGGGAACCGCAAGGUGCACCAUCGACCGAUCCUGAUGUCUUCGGAUGGAUUUGAGUAAGAGCAUAGCUGGUGGGACCCGAAAGAUGGUGAACUAUGCCUGAAUAGGGUGAAGCCAGAGGAAACUCUGGUGGAGGCUCGCAGCGGUUCUGACGUGCAAAUCGAUCGUCAAAUUUGGGUAUAGGGGCGAAAGACUAAUCGAACCAUCUAGUAGCUGGUUCC
rnacentral:rRNA from 1 species